rnacentral:rRNA from 1 species
CGGGGAAUCCAUGCCUGAAUGCAUAGGGCAUGGAGGCGAACCUGGGGAACUGCAACAUCUAAGUACCCAGAGGAAAAUAAAGAAACCUCGAUUCCGUAAGUAGCGGCGAGCGAAAGCGGAUCAGCUAAAACCUUAUAAACUGAAAUUAUACAAAUUUGCUUUCGGGUAAAGGAGUUUAAUGAAAGGCUUUGCGGCCAUAUGUUUGUAGGGGGUUGUGAGAAUAAUAUAUUUUAAACACGCAAAUGUUUUUAGAGAGUACAGCGAACUUCCCUAGUAGAAUCUGCUGGAAAGCAGAGCCAAAGAGGAUGAUAGCUCCGUACGCGAAAGGGGUUAGCACUCUUUAUAUUAUUUCUCGAGUACCACGGGACCCGUGAAAUCCCGUGGGAAACCGGCGCGACUAUGCGCCAAAGCUAAAUACUUUUUGUGAUCGAUAGAGAACUAGUACCGUGAGGGAAAGCUGAAAAGAACCCCGGAAGGGGAGUGAAAUAGAAUCUGAAACCAUAUACCUACAAGGAGUCGGAGCUCUGACGUUCGCGUCAGGGUGACGGCGUGCCUAUUGAAGAAUGAGCCAGCGAGUUUGUGUCUGUGGCAUGAUUAAGUCCUUUGGGACGAAGUCACAGUGAAAGCGAGCCUUAACGGGCGUGUCAUCUUUUAUCAGCAUCGAGUUCAUCACGUGUGGUGAGUUGGGUGCUGAUAGAAGAUGCGUAGUCGCAGGUACAAGACCCGAAACCGGACGACCUAUCCAUGUCCAGGGUGAAGCGAGUGUAAAACCUCGUGGAGGCCCGAACCCACGCACCGUUCAAAGUGCCGGGAUGAGGUGUGGAUAGCGGAGAAAUUCCAAUCGAGUUCGGUUAUAUCUGGUUCUCCCCGAGAUAUGUUUAGGCAUAGCGUCGGUUAAUAGCGUUGUGGGGGUAGAGCACUGAUUGGAAUCGGCGCCGUAAGGUAGCCUUUCCAGCCAAACUCCGAAUACCACAACGUGUUCCCGGCAGUCAGACCAUGGGGGCGAAGCUCCAUUGGUCGAGAGGGAAACAGCCCAGAUCUCAAGCUAAGGUCCCAAAGUUAUCGUUAAGUGUAAAAGGUAGUAGAGAGGCUCAUACAACCAGGAGGUUGGCUUAGAAGCAGCCAUCCUUUAAAGAAAGCGUAACAGCUCACUGGUCAAGCCUUUCUGCGCCGAAAAUAUAUCGGGGCUAAACGAUACACCGAAGCUGAGGACUUUCCGCCUUCGGGCGGGGAGUGGUAGGGGAGCAUUCCUAUUGCGCUGAAGUCGUUGGGUGACCAACGGUGGAGCGGUGGGAAGAGAGAAUGCUGGCAUGAGUAGCAAAAAGACAGGUGAGAACCCUGUCCGCCGUAAGCUCAAGGUUUCCACAGCAACGAAAAUCGUCUGUGGGUUAGUCGGGUACUAAGGCGAGGCCGAAAGGCGUAGUCGAUGUACAGCAGGAUAAUAUUCCUGCACCACCUUAUUAUUCUGAUGGGGGGACGCUUCUUCAAGUUUCCUGUGUCCUAUGGCUAUGACACUGGGGGCUCGAGGCCGAUGAGUAGGAAAAUCCGCUCGUCAUAAGGUUUUGAGUCAUCGCGAACCGAGUUUUACUCGGUGAGAGGAAAGGAGAAGGGGCCAAGAAAAGCCUCUAGGGUUAAUGAUAGGGUGCCCGUACCGCAAACCAACACAGGUGAGCGAGUGUAAAUGCACUAAGGCGUACGAGAGAAACAUUGUUAGGGAACUCGGCAAAACAGAGGCCGUAACUUCGGGAGAAGGCCUGGUUCUUUCCGGGAGGAAAGGACCCGCAGCGAAUGAUUGAAAGCGACUGUUUAUCAAAAACACAGGUCCCUGCGAAAGCGCAAGCUGAUGUAUAGGGGCUGAUGCCUGGCCAGUGUCCGAACGUUAAAGAAGCGGGUUAGAUUCUUCGGAAUCAAAGCUUGCGACUGAAGCGCGGAUGAACGCCGGCCGUAACUAUAACGGUCCUAAGGUGAUGUUGAUCACUCGGUGGUCGAUGUCAGGACUAGGACUGUUGUAGCGGAAGAUAAACAGAUGUCAAAAAGUUGCCUCAUUCUAUGGUGACAUAGAAUUGGUCCAAAAACAGUUGGCUAUAUGCUGGGACGUCUCGUGGCGUGCACGUAGCUAUGGUAAAAUGUAACCAUAGUAUGAAUACGAAGCAACGAGAUUAUCAGCAGGAAAGGCCAGAAGAUGCUGGAUGGAUUUGUGGAUUCGUCGACGGAGAAGGUUGCUUCUCGGUUAGCAUAAUCCGCAAUAAGACGACAAGUUCUGGAUGGCAAAUAUUUCCAGAGUUUGUUGUGACGCAAGGUAUCAAGAGUAGAGCCUCAAUCGAAGGAAUACAAGAUUUCUUCGCGUGUGGUCGAAUCUAUGAAAACCGUCGUCAUGACAACCAUAAAGAAAAUUUGCUUCGAUACUGUGUGCGUUCGAGAAAAGAUCUCUUGGAACGGAUCAUUCCCUUCUUCGAGAAAAACCCUUUACGAACAGCAAAGCGCGAAGACUUUAAAAAGUUCAAGCGCAUCCUCCUCUUAAUGGAGAAGGGAGCACAUAGAAAAGAGUCAGGAUUACGUCAGAUUGCACGAAUCAUCGAGCGGAUGAAUCGUAAAGUCCCAUCAAGAUUUCUGGAAUCCUCAGAGACCAAACGCCAACAUUCUGCAAAGGCAGAAUAAGAUAGAGUCCUUCGUCAAAAGGAAACGAAGAGCGAAAUUCCUUGUCGGGUGAGUUCCGACCUGCACGAAUGGCAUAACGACUUUCAAACUGUCCCAACAAUGUACUCGGCGAAAUUGCGACGGGAGUGAAGAUGCUCUCUAUACGUAGUCGGACGAAAAGACCCCGUG